UACGAAGGGGGCUAGCGUUGCUCGGAAUUACUGGGCGUAAAGGGCGCGUAGGCGGAUACUUAAGUCGGGGGUGAAAGCCCGGAGCUCAACUCCGGAAUUGCCUUUGAAACUGUCAGGCUCGAGUACGGGAGAGGUGAGUGGAAUUCCCAGUGUAGAGGUGAAAUUCGUAGAUAUUGGGAAGAACACCGGUGGCGAAGGCGGCUCACUGGCCCGUUUCUGACGCUCAGGCGCGACAGCGUGGGGAUCAAACAGG
rnacentral:rRNA from 1 species